rnacentral:rRNA from 1 species
CCUACGGGAGGCAGCAGUGGGGAAUAUUGCGCAAUGGGGGGAACCCUGACGCAGCGACGCCGCGUGAAGGAAGAAGGUCUUCGGAUUGUAAACUUCUUUGGUCGGGGACGAAGAAAUGACGGUACCCGAUAAAAAAGCCACGGCUAACUACGUGCCAGCAGCCGCGGUAAUACGUAGGUGGCAAGCGUUGUCCGGAAUUACUGGGUGUAAAGGGCGUGUAGGCGGGGAUGCAAGUCAGAUGUGAAACCCCAUGGCUCAACUGUGGGCUUGCAUCUGAAACUGUGUUUCUUGAGUGUUGGAGAGGGAAGUGGAAUUCCUAGUGUAGCGGUGAAAUGCGUAGAGAUUAGGAGGAACACCAGUGGCGAAGGCGACUUCCUGGCCAACAACUGACGCUGAGGCGCGAAAGCGUGGGGAGCAAACAGGAUUAGAUACCCUAGUAGUC